GUGUCCCCCUCAGAACCAUAACCUCUCCACCUGACCAGGUACUCCAACUUCCCCUUCCUGUUCCUCCUCCUGUCCACAAUCCGCUCCACCUGCAGGACAACAGCCAGCAACAUCAUCAUCGUUGUCGGCACCAUGAUCACGUGACCACAGUUUCUUCCGACGCUGCGGUGAUGGAGCUGACAGUGUGUCGCCCUCGCCGUCAUCGUCCUCACUCAUGUUAGAUCGGGCCUUACAGCAGAGGUAGCAGAAGAAGAUGGCGAUGGCGAGUGGGAAGCUGACCAGGAAGCAGCCAAACAGCGGAGCUUGGCUGAACAGCGGCUGGACAGACGGAGAAUGGAGAGAGGUCAGAGGUCCGUCAGACAGGAAACAGGACAGAACCCCAUCCAGGAAGUCCAGCAGGUGGCGCUCCGUCUCCACAGCGCCCGGGGGCAGGAAGUAGCCAUCAUUGGACAGAUUAACCACAAUCAAGGAGGGCAGGGUCACCUCGCUGAAAGUAACAGACCAAUCAGAAAUGUUCACAGAUUAAGUGGCAGGAAAAUGGAUGAAUGAAUCUCCGAAAGGCCAAGACGAAUCUCUGCCACCUGAUUGACAUACAGGACGGCCAGUCUGAGAUCUCAAAAACCCAGAGCACCCCACUUCCAUGCAGAAUGGGAGGAGGACUUUUAUUUCACUGUCUUUUUCAAAGUGCGUUUGUCUGAUUUGUCAAACUACCAUCACUGUUCCGAGGAAGGGGGAUGUUGAGAGGCACUUUCAAACUGUUCAUAAAACGUACGACACUGACUUUCCUCUGAAAAUCAAGCUGAGAAGAAGAAAGGUGAGGGAACUAAAAUCACAACAGUCGUUUUUCACACAGCUGAAUUCACAAGCAAAGGCCGAUACGAAGCAUCGUUACAGGUGAGUCACUCUAUUAUUAAGCAUACGAAGUCCUUCCAAGAUGGAGAGAUGAUAAAAGAGGCUUUCAUUGAGGCAGCUGACUCCUUGUUUCAGGAUUUUAAAAACAAACCAGAAAUAUUAUUGUUAAUCAAAGCUCUACAGCUAUCAAGAAUUACAGUGACACAGUGCUGUGAAGUAAUGGCGGAGGAUUUGACACUGCAGCUUCAGAGAGACAUCGCAGACUGCAAGUGUUUCUCGCUGCAGUUAGACGAGUCUACAGACACCAGAGAUACAGCCCAGCUGUGUGUUUUUAUUUGGAUGGUGUCAUGAUAUGGUGUUAUUCGGAUGAUAUUACUCAAGAAGAGGAGCCCAUGAAACAACGCACGCAGGGAGAGUUCAUUUUUCAGUCAUUCAAAAAUUGUGUCUAUAAAACCAGCAGCUCCCAGUGUGCAAACUGUGUGCAGUACUGAUGGCUGUUUGUCACCUAUGUGCAUUAACACAAUGCAUAACUGAUAUUGAGAGUAAUGUACAUUACUCUCAAUAUCAGUUAUGCAUUGUGUUAUAUAAAGAAUACUCAGUAUAUGUAUAAAUAAGCAGAUGUUUAGUAUUUUUUAUUAGGCCGAUCAUUUUGAAAGUAGCUUUUAAGCUAACAAAGUGUGGGCACUCCUGGGCCAGAAGAACCAUUAACGACAGAGACAAUAAGGACUGCAAACCUGCAGUUCCUGUAACGGCCACCAGAGGCUCCACCAGUCAGUCAGUCCAUAUUAAAUGUGUUUCCAGUAGAAACAAACAUGUUCACAGCUGGUUUCUGUAGCUCACAUAUCCCUUCAUUACAACUUUUAUAUGGGUUAACCCUAACCUAAUCAGAGGGUGUGGCCUCUCUGAGUGACAGGUCGCUGUGAGCCGUCUGCUGCGUCCCCUCAGAUAAUUCAUUAGUGUUCUUCACCACGUGGUGUCUUUGUAGAGAGUUUUGUUAGGUAGAGUCCGCUGCUACCAAGAUGGAGGCAGCCUGUACCAUCCUUCACACUUCAGUCUGAGUCCUCAGACACCUGUGGGUGAUGUCAUGGUGGCUCCACCCACUGUUUCUACAGGUA